rnacentral:rRNA from 1 species
AGCUACAGGCUUAACACAUGCAAGUCGAGGGGCUUCGCAGUGUAGCAAUACAUGGGCGGCGACCGGCGCACGGGUGCGUAACGCGUAUCCAACCUUCCCGUUACUCUUGGAUAGCCUUCCGAAAGGGAGAUUAAUACAAGAUGGUGUUUCACUUUCGCAUGUUAUUGAAACUAAAGAUUUAUCGGUAACGGAUGGGGAUGCGUGACAUUAGCUAGUUGGCGGGGUAACGGCCCACCAAGGCGACGAUGUCUAGGGGUUCUGAGAGGAAGGUCCCCCACACUGGUACUGAGACACGGACCAGACUCCUACGGGAGGCAGCAGUGAGGAAUAUUGGUCAAUGGGCGAGAGCCUGAACCAGCCAUGUCGCGUGCAGGAUUACGGCCCUAUGGGUUUUAAACUGCUUUUGUCUAGGGGUAAAAAGACCACGUGUGGUAAAUUGAAAGUACUAGACGAAUAAGCAUCGGCUAACUCCGUGCCAGCAGCCGCGGUAAUACGGAGGAUGCGAGCGUUAUCCGGAUUUAUUGGGUUUAAAGGGUGCGUAGGCGGCCUAUCAAGUCGGUGGUGAAAUUUCGUGGCUUAACCACGUCACUGCCAUCGAAACUGAUAAGCUUGAGUGCGUUGGGGGUAGCUGGAAUGUGCGGUGUAGCGGUGAAAUGCAUAGAUAUCGCACAGAACGCCGAUCGCGAAGGCAGGUUACCACGCCGCAACUGACGCUGAGGCACGAAAGCGCGGGGAUCGAACAGGAUUAGAUACCCUGGUAGUCCGCGCCGUAAACGAUGGAUGCUCGCCGUUCGCGAUAUAAAGUGAGUGGCCAAGCGAAAGCGAUAAGCAUCCCACCUGGGGAGUACGCCGGCAACGGUGAAACUCAAAGGAAUUAACGGGGGCCCGCACAAGCGGAGGAACAUGUGGUUUAAUUCGAUGAUACGCGAGGAACCUUACCCGGGCUUGAAAGUUAUCGACGGACCGUGAAAGCGGUCUUCCCUUCGGGGCGAGAAACUAGGUGCUGCAUGGUUGUCGUCAGCUCGUGCCGUGAGGUGUCGGCUUAAGUGCCAUAACGAGCGCAACCCUUGUCUCCAGUUGCCAACGAGUAAAGUCGGGGACUCUGGAGAGACUGCCACCGCAAGGUGCGAGGAAGGCGGGGAUGACGUCAAAUCAGCACGGCCCUUACGUCCGGGGCGACACACGUGUUACAAUGGGGGGUACAGAGGGUAGCGACAACGCGAGUUGAAGCCAAUCUCAGAAAGCCCUUCUCAGUUCGGAUCGGAGUCUGCAACUCGACUCCGUGAAGCUGGAUUCGCUAGUAAUCGCGCAUCAGCCAUGGCGCGGUGAAUACGUUCCCGGGCCUUG